rnacentral:rRNA from 1 species
AACAAACGCUGGCGGCAGGCUUAACACAUGCAAGUCGAGCGCCCCGCAAGGGGAGCGGCAGACGGGUGAGUAACGCGUGGGAAUCCACCCAUCUCUACGGAAUAACGCAUGGAAACGUGUGCUAAUACCGUAUACGUCCUUCGGGAGAAAGAUUUAUCGGAGAUGGAUGAGCCCGCGUUGGAUUAGCUAGUUGGUGGGGUAAAGGCCUACCAAGGCGACGAUCCACAGCUGGUCUGAGAGGAUGAUCAGCCACACUGGGACUGAGACACGGCCCAGACUCCUACGGGAGGCAGCAGUGGGGAAUAUUGGACAAUGGGCGCAAGCCUGAUCCAGCCAUGCCGCGUGAGUGAUGAAGGCCCUAGGGUUGUAAAGCUCUUUCACCGGUGAAGAUAAUGACGGUAACCGGAGAAGAAGCCCCGGCUAACUUCGUGCCAGCAGCCGCAGUAAUAC